rnacentral:piRNA from 1 species
UGUAUGAAAUCCUGAGCACCCUGA